rnacentral:lncRNA from 1 species
UCUCCUAUUUUAACUCCUACAGUGUGAAUGUCAGGCAGCUUGAUGUUACCCCACCAGUCCCCUAUGCUCUGUUUAUUCUUCAUUCUUUUUUCUUUCUUCUCAGAUUAGAUGAUUCCAGUUGACCUUCGGGUUUUCUGUUUCUUCUUUUGCCUGCUCAAAAAUACUGUUGAAACCCUCAAAUGAAUUUUUGUUUUUCAGUUUUUUUUAAUAUCAGACUUUUUAUUCACUUCCUUUUAUGUUUUUUUUUUCUUUAUUGAUAUUCGCAUUUGUUCAUGCAUUGUUUUUUCUGGUUUAUUUUAGAACUAUGUCUGUUUUCUUUUAGUUCUUUGAACAUAUUUAAAUACCUGUUUUAAAGUGUUUGUCUUACAAGUCCAGUAUCUGGGCUUCCUCUAUGACUGCUUUUGUUGUUGUUGUUUUUCCUUUUCACUUUACUUUCCUAAUUCCUUGUAUGCCUUUCAUUUCUCAUUGAAAACCGGACAUUCAAAUAUUACAAUUUGGUAACUAUGGAAAUAAGAUGAUUCCCUUUCUCAGGGUUUGCUGGGGGAGGUUAUUAUUAAAAGCUGUAGUCAUCCCAUUGUCUAGUAACUUAUCCCAAAUUUUUGCAGACUAUUACUUGUUGUGUGUGGCCACAGAACUCUGUUUCUUAGCUUAUUUUCAGCUAUUGUUCUGACAGAGAGUUCUUUGAACAGUAGAAACUAAAAUGAAAUACUACCUCUCCCAGUCUUUGCAGAUUGGUUCUGUGCCUGGGUCCUCUGUCAAACUUAGCUAGACUUGCACUGACCUAAGGAGCAGCCUGAGUUAAUACCUUAAUAUCUUAGGUCUUUUCUGACUGUGUACCUUGUACUGGGCCUGUCCUUGGAUUUUUUAAUUCCCCAGGAUGGCUUUAAAU